ensembl:lncRNA
CCCUAGCUGACACUGGGAGAUGGUAUAGAACUUUCCAGCCAAGUUCAAAAAGUCAGCAGUUGGGAAGCAAAAGGUUCUUUGCUCCAUGAGCUGAGAGGAGAGAUAUCAUGAUUGCAACUCCUGCCUUCUUUCUAUCAGUUGGGGUCCAAAAGGUCUUACUCCAUCCGUUCAUUCUGACCUUAUUCUUUCUCCUCGACAAGUGUGGAAGAGGCAUGAAGAAAGAGAGAACUUCAUGUUUGCAAAAGAAAGUUGGGGACAUGAUCUGUCAAUCAAGGUGAAGAUUCCAAAACAGAAUGUUCCCAGGAAAGGCAGUUGGAGUUGGCCAGAGGAGAGGAACUGAGAUUUCUUCUUUGGGGGUUACUGGCCAAAGGAACUAAACCUCUUCUCUGGGUUCCUGACCAAGAGAGACUGUCUUUUUCUGAUCUAGGCAGAGAGUGACCUUUGGGAGGGCUUCUGGAAUUAAUAUGAGAAGAAAUUAACUUUUGUUUGUGGUUUUGUGUAAUUGGAGGAAGAAAGAAGAUUUAAUAGUUGUCCUCCUUCUCUCUGACUGUCUCUGAGUCACAGUUGUGACUGGACUGACAUUUCCCAAACCCUCCUAAUUCUCCUUAUAGAUUAGGGAAACCCUCAUCCCUCUCACCUCAAUCUCCAUCCUGUUGUUCACAAUAAACCCCUUUACUUGAGAAAAAAAGAGUAAAGA